rnacentral:tRNA from 1 species
AUCCGCGGCUCGUCGACUGGGUGCGCCGGCGCGCGGCGCACGCGCGGCGCAUCGCGUCGGUGUGCUCGGGCGCGUUCGUGCUCGCGGCGGCGGGGC